rnacentral:rRNA from 1 species
GACGAACGCUGGCGGCGUGCUUAACACAUGCAAGUCGAACGGUGAAGCGCCUUCCUUUUUGGUGGGUGUGGAUGAGUGGCGAACGGGUGAGUAACACGUGAGUAACCUGCCCCCUUCUUCUGGAUAACCGCAUGAAAGUGUGGCUAAUACGGGAUAUUCUGGGUCUGUCGCAUGAUGGGUCUGGGAAAGAUAUUGUUUCGGUGGGGGAUGGGCUCGCGGCCUAUCAGCUUGUUGGUGGGGUGAUGGCCUACCAAGGCGGUGACGGGUAGCCGGCCUGAGAGGGUGGACGGUCACACUGGGACUGAGACACGGACCAGACUACUAGGGGAGGCAGCAGUGGGGAAUAUUGCACAAUGGGCGCAAGCCUGAUGCAGCGACGCCGCGUGAGGGAUGGAGGCCUUCGGGUUGUGAACCUCUUUCGCCAGUGAAGCAGGCCUGCCUCGUUUGUGGGUGGGUUGACGGUAGCUGGAGAAGAAGCGCCGGCUAACUACGUG